rnacentral:hammerhead_ribozyme from 1 species
AUCCAGAUGAUGAGUCCCAAAUAGGACGAAACGCGAGUUAUCCUGGAU